GUGUACUGUGGGGCAGUGGGCCGUGAAAGGUAGCCUGGUGGUCCCCGUUGAGCUAAGGCUACCUUUGAUAGUCCACUGCCCCAUGGUACAUGCAU
ensembl:miRNA Mir3061 microRNA 3061